GCGCCCCUCGAUUCCCCGGUCCAGCAGCACGCGGCGCGCACCCGAAAGGCAGCGCGCGGCGCACCCUAGCCGGGCCGCGAUGCCCACGGCUAACGUGCGCGCGGCGCAGCCUAGCGCCGACCGCAGGUUAAGUACGCUGGUGCGCCACCUGCUGCCUUCUUCCCCACGAACAUCGCCACCAGCAGCAGCAGCAGCGACCGCCACCUCCGCCGACUCCCUCCAACCUUUCCCCACCAUGGCGUCGCCCUCCGUCUUCGCCGGGAUCGCCCAGGGCCCGGAGGACCCC
rnacentral:lncRNA from 1 species